rnacentral:lncRNA from 1 species
AGGGACCGGUAGGCGCCGGGGUCAGCGCCAGCGUUUGAUGUGCGGCGGGGAGCGGGCCGAGCCCCGGGAGGCCGCUUCGCACCUCCCAGUGUGUCCGGGUUGAGCGCGAGGUCAGGAGGGGACGCAGAGUUCACGGCGAAGACGGAUCGCGGGGGCUCGUCCCGCCCGGGUUGCGCGCAGCGGGGGCCGCGUGAUGGAUGGGCCGGGCCGGGCACCCGGGAACCCGCGAGCGCGGGGCUGGGCUCUGGGCUGCGUCCGGGGGCCCCGACUUGGUUAUUGAUCGGCCCAAGCGCAGGAGAACUGACUCUAUAAUGCAUCGCCUGACCAGGAAAAGUGUUUGCUUUUGUGGGAGCAAAAGACAACUUUCUGCCCCGCCAGAGCGUUGCUAAGUGAGCGGUAAUGACCACGCUAGAAAUUUCAUAGGGAGAGGCUAAUGGCAGGCUGACUCUAAAAGUGCUUUUAAGUGCAACUUCUGUCUAAUCCCUUGAGGGGGAAGAAAACAUCGGCGACUAAGAAAGUUCAAGUUGUACAGGACCCGGGUUUUUGGGGUCGGGGUCACUUCUGCUCUGCGUGACUUUGAAGAGGAAGACCUGCGGUUUUUUCCAGUGGAUUUUCACACGUGUUUUAAAGAGAACUCCCGGCUCCUGAAAUGAAAGGCCCGCCUGUAGGGUUUUGCUGCCUCCCCUCUGCCCACGCCCCACCCCCACAGCCUGGAUCAAAGCGAUCAGACAAAUUAUUCAGAAGUAACACAGCCCUGAAAUGUUCCUAAACGUGACUAUUUGAGGCGAUGAAUCAAGCGUGUUCCCUCCGCCCCCAACCCACCCCCAGACCGAAAAUGUGACUCUGGAAACGGACUUGCAGAGCUGGCUUCGGUUUAUAUGCGGUUCUGACCCCUGUUGACUUUAGGACAAGCCUUCCUGUUUCCAGUACUGCAGCAUCGCCAGACAGCCUCGCCAUGCAAUCGGCUUUCCAGAUACGAUUUCACUCCUCACCAAAGACACUUCUUUAGGGCGAUUUUAGGAUUCUAUCAACGCUAGUAAAGGAACUACUUAAACACGUUGAUUUGUAUCGCCUUCCCUGACUAUGAAACAUUGAAGUGGAAUACUACUCAUCAAUAAAAAAAAUAUAAACUCCUGAUACACCUCAUGGAUGGAUGCAUAGAUGGAUGGAUGGAUCUGAAAAACAUCGUGCUGAAUAAAAGAAGCCAGACAUGAAAGAAAUGUUGUCCAUAUUGCAUAAAGUUGUGUCAUUUCCUACUCAAACAAAGACUAUCUACCUGAAUGCUUGCAACACGACAAGAAUAAUAACAG